rnacentral:rRNA from 1 species
UACAGGGGGUGCAAACGUUGCUCGGAAUCAUUGGGCGUAAAGCGCACGUAGGCGGUUCGUUAUGUCGAAUGUGAAAGCCCUUGGCUUAACCGAGGAAGUGCAUCCGAAACUGGCGAGCUAGAGUACGAAAGAGGAUCGCGGAAUUCCCGGUGUAGAGGUGAAAUUCGUAGAUAUCGGGAGGAACACCGGUGGCGAAGGCGGCGAUCUGGGUCGAUACUGACGCUGAGGUGCGAAAGCGUGGGGAGCAAACAGGG